AUGACGUCAAGUCAGCAUGGCCUUUAUGUCCUGGGCUACACACACGCUACAAUGGCCAACACAAUAGGUUGCUAAGCCGCGAGGUGGAGCCAAUCCUCAAAGUUGGUCUCAGUUCAGAUUGCAGGCUGCAACCCGCCUGCAUGAAGAUGGAGUUGCUAGUAACCGCAGGUCAGCAAUACUGCGGUGAAUACGUUCCCGGGUCUU
rnacentral:rRNA from 1 species